UUGGAAGGAAAAUAUUUCCUUUCAGCAGUUUUUCCUGGCUUAGCCAAGGAAAGAAGAAUGCCACUAAAAUCUGCAGUGCAGGGCAGAGGAGGGGAAGCCUGUCUCAAAUGAGGGUCACAUCCCAGAGUUGGGCAUUUGCAGGAACAAAUGCCAACUCAGAGGGAACUGACUCACCAGAAGGAACAAGUGCUAAACCAACCCAGCUCAUUACAGGGACAGGAACAAGUUCUCAAGCAGCUCAUCCAUUACUUCUUCCCUCUGGACAGGCCUACGGCAGAAUGUGCAAAAUGCCAGCAAACCAACCAGUGAAAUCCACAGGUAACAAAGCACAGCACCACUGAUGGGACUGGAAUGCCGGUGGACCUGGGAUACCUGAGCUGUGAUAGUCUAGAUUAGCGUAUGAUCAUAUCACCCCCAGUGGCUGGUCCCAGCAACUACAACAGGCUGCUAAAUGCGGACGGCUAAUAGCCUUAUUCCUCGCCUAGCCCUUAACUCUGAAAAAAUUCCUAUCAUGUUACCACCAGAUCAAAUUUGGGAGGGAGGAGGAAAGACUAGUGUAGACUCAGCUUCCAUAGUAGGGCCUGUGCUUUCGCUACUGAAGACCCCAGGUUCUUCCCUUCUGGUGACUUUGGUCACGGGUCACUGGCACUUUGGGGAAAGAGAUGCUGAAGUUCUUACAAUAAGUAAGUGCCAGAGUCACUUUUAGGAAGGCUUCAAGGGAAGCUGAUGGCUGCAGCAAACCUCUGGCCCAUGGGUGCUAUUGCUGGUGGUUGUUUCUCCUAAGAUGUGGUGGCUGAUACUGCUCCAUCUCCAGUAGCAAUGUUAGCAUCCCAGCACCUAAACACAUCAUAUUCAGUACCACAGCAUAAUCGCCCAGCCUCAUUUCAGGCUGGCACUGAGCCUGUUUAGCUGGAGCUCAUUUCACCAGAUGCCAGGCAUUGCUACCCAGGUAACUGACAUCAAAGAGCCAGAGGGCAAAAGCAUGGCACCCUAACUCAUCCUGGUGCGGCAGAAAAAUGUAAUGAGGGCUCCUGGAGCAUCGCCAGUAAAGUCCCCCUGCUAUCACUCAGAAGCAUAACAUGAUCAUAUAAGGCUACCAGGUUAAGGAGAGAAGAGAGACAAGGUCAUCACGGGACGUGCUCAGACACUAUGGAUACACAGUCCACAAUGUGAGGGUGACAACUCAUCACAUACCAGGUCUUCCACAUACAAAGCAAUUUUACUGAGGCUACCAAACCUGGCUCAGUGUUCCUGGGAACCAAUUCAACAGAUAGAGCAGUGAUACUCAGACUGUGGCUCGGGAGCUGCAAGUGGCUCUUUAAUGUGUCUCCUGCGGCUCUUUGCAGCACGUGAUGUUUAAACACUGUGUCGUUUAAUUAUUAGCCAAUCUCAGUUAUUAACCAAUCAGAAUGCUUUUACUAUGUUGUUAAUCAAUUGUAGAACACUUGGUCAGUCACUUUGCUGUAAGAAUAAUAUAGCUACAUAUAAAAACAGUAAAGGAAACA